CCCGAGGAAAAGAAAUCAACCGAGAUUCCCCCAGUAGCGGCGAGCGAACGGGGAGGAGCCCAGAGCCUGAAUCAGCAUGUGUGUUAGUGGAAGCGUCUGGAAAGGCGCGCGAUACAGGGUGACAGCCCCGUACACAAAAGCGCAUGUGCUGUGAGCUCGAUGAGUAGGGCGGGACACGUGGUAUCCUGUCUGAAUAUGGGGGGACCAUCCUCCAAGGCUAAAUACUCCUGACUGACCGAUAGUGAACCAGUACCGUGAGGGAAAGGCGAAAAGAACCCCGGCGAGGGGAGUGAAAAAGAACCUGAAACCGUGUACGUACAAGCAGUGGGAGCACAGGUUUACCUGUGUGACUGCGUACCUUUUGUAUAAUGGGUCAGCGACUUAUAUUCUGUAGCAAGGUUAACCGUAUAGGGGAGCCGGAGGGAAACCGAGUCUUAACCGGGCGUUAAGUUGCAGGGUAUAGACCCGAAACCCGGUGAUCUAGCCAUGGGCAGGUUGAAGGUUGGGUAACACUAACUGGAGGACCGAACCGACUAAUGUUGAAAAAUUAGCGGAUGACCUGUGGCUGGGGGUGAAAGGCCAAUCAAACCGGGAGAUAGCUGGUUCUCCCCGAAAGCUAUUUAGGUAGCGCCUCGUGAAUUCAUCUCCGGGGGUAGAGCACUGUUUCGGCUAGGGGGCCAUCCCGGCUUACCAACCCGAUGCAAACUGCGAAUACCGGAGAAUGUUAUCACGGGAGACACACGGCGGGUGCUAACGUCCGUCGUGAAGAGGGAAACAACCCAGACCGCCAGCUAAGGUCCCAAAGUCAUGGUUAAGUGGGAAACGAUGUGGGAAGGCCCAGACAGCCAGGAUGUUGGCUUAGAAGCAGCCAUCAUUUAAAGAAAGCGUAAUAGCUCACUGGUCGAGUCGGCCUGCGCGGAAGAUGUAACGGGGCUAAACCAUGCACCGAAGCUGCGGCAGCGACACUCAGGUGUUGUUGGGUAGGGGAGCGUUCUGUAAGCCUGUGAAGGUGGCCUGUGAGGGUUGCUGGAGGUAUCAGAAGUGCGAAUGCUGACAUAAGUAACGAUAAAGCGGGUGAAAAGCCCGCUCGCCGGAAGACCAAGGGUUCCUGUCCAACGUUAAUCGGGGCAGGGUGAGUCGACCCCUAAGGCGAGGCCGAAAGGCGUAGUCG
rnacentral:rRNA from 2 species